rnacentral:rRNA from 1 species
AUUGAACGCUGGCGGCAGGCCUAACACAUGCAAGUCGAGCGAGCGUCGCACGGGUGAGUAAUGUAUGGGGACUGCCCGAUAGAGGGGGAUAACUACAGGAAACGGUGUCUAAUACCGCACAUUGCCGGAUAACCCAUAUGGGAUUAGCUCGUAGGUAGGGUAAUGGCUUACCUAGGCGACGAUCCCUAGCUGGUCUGAGAGGAUGAUCAGCCACACUGGAACUGAGACACGGCCCAGACUCCUACGGAGGCAGCAGUGGGGAAUAUUGCACAAUGGGCGCAAGCCUGAUGCAGCCAUGCCGCGUGUAUGAAGAAGGCCUUAGGGUUGUAAAGUACUUUCAGUCGGGAGGCGUUACCGGCAGAAGAAGCACCGGCUAACUCCGUGCCAGCAGCCGCGGUAAUUC